UACGUAGGGGGCAAGCGUUAUCCGGAUUUACUGGGUGUAAAGGGAGCGUAGACGGCAGCGCAAGUCUGGAGUGAAAUGCCGGGGCCCAACCCUGGAACUGCUUUGGAAACUGUGCAGCUCGAGUGCAGGAGAGGUAAGCGGAAUUCCUAGUGUAGCGGUGAAAUGCGUAGAUAUUAGGAGGAACACCAGUGGCGAAGGCGGCUUACUGGACUGUAACUGACGUUGAGGCUCGAAAGCGUGGGGAGCAAACAGG
rnacentral:rRNA from 1 species